rnacentral:rRNA from 1 species
UCAGAUUGAACGCUGGCGGCAUGCCUUACACAUGCAAGUCGAACGGUAGCGCGGGGGCAACCCUGGCGACGAGUGGCGAACGGGUGAGUAAUGUAUCGGAACGUGCCCUGGAGUGGGGGAUAACUGGUCGAAAGACUAGCUAAUACCGCAUACGAUCUACGGAUGAAAGUGGGGGAUCGCAAGACCUCAUGCUCAUGGAGCGGCCGAUAUCUGAUUAGCUGGUUGGCGGGGUAAAAGCCCACCAAGGCGACGAUCAGUAGCUGGUCUGAGAGGACGACCAGCCACACUGGGACUGAGACACGGCCCAGACUCCUACGGGAGGCAGCAGUGGGGAAUUUUGGACAAUGGGCGCAAGCCUGAUCCAGCAAUGCCGCGUGUGUGAAGAAGGCCUUCGGGUUGUAAAGCACUUUUGUCGGGAACGAAACGGUCCGGGCUAAUAUCCUGGGCUAAUGACGGUACCUGAAGAAUAAGCACCGGCUAACUACGUGCCAGCAGCAGC